CAGAUGACCCUGGUCUCGGCGAAGGAGGAGUACGACGAGGAGGCGGGGGAGGACGAGGACCCAGCGGCCUCGGGUGCGGAGAGCACGACGUCCCUCUCCAUCGCCGGCACGCGCGGCGCCUGCUCUUGCGCUUCCAGUCUCUGUCCUUCUCGGCGGUGUUGGCUUUGGGAAUUUGGGGAUGGGGGGACUUCCUUUCCUCCGGCGUGCGGCGGGCGCGGAGGCUUCUCGAUGCUCGGCGAAGGCCCAUUGGUGGUCAUGGCCCAAGCAUAGGAUUUCCAAGUGUCAUGGCCCAUUGGUGGUCCUGAUCCUGAUUGGCGGUGAAGGCGGCUGGAGUUGAAGAGGAGGGUGCGGAAGAGACGAGGACUCGAGUGUUUGCGAGGGUUGCGGCCUGGGGUUUUCCUUUGCUUUGCGCCGCCUCAAUCGGUCGGAAGGGCGGAGCAGCAGCAGGAGCACAACGAGGCUGCCUCCUCGGCUUUUCUGGGAGUUCGGACCCGUGCGGCGCGACGGGCGACGGCGACUGAACAUUCCAGAAGGGGGCGCGUGGGAAAGCGACGGGCCGGCGGACGGAGGCCGGGUGGGCGGCGGGAUCGGCACAACAACUCAACAAACUUGGCCUAUUUCUUGCUGGGCUUUGUGCGGGUCGAACCGCCCUGUGACUGUGAUUCUGUAUGGUUGUGGCCCGCUCUGUCGGGCGCAUUUUUGGGUAGACGUGUGGUCUGGUGACGGCGCCGGCCUGGCCAAAAAGUGGCGUCGUGCGCUGGGCGGCGGUGGGGUCUAGCCGCCGUCUGGGCGCUCCGCUGCCGGGUCGAAGGACCUAUAAAACGGAGGGGUCGAGGAAGCUAGUGAGUGCCAUCGUUGGGCCGGCGCAAACCCUAGUCGCCACAUCACUGCCUCCUCACACCAUCUGCCUGUGGUUCCCAUGUCAUCCUCCCCCGUUUGAGGUCUUCCUGCUCCUUCAGAUCCGUCUAUGUGUGUGUUUGUCGUGCCUGAUACUGGCUCGGAAGGUAUUCCGAUCUGUUUCUUCGGUGCCGUAUAUUUCGUUGCGAUUUUGGUUCGGUUCUUUCUUGCUCUUCGUGGGUCGUUGCUGGAUAACACGGAUCGAUGAUGCUGUUCAAGAAGUACUGCGUUAUCUUCCUGAUGCAAGUGUUAGGCCCUCGUUACGAAGGCUUCCUGACGACACAAAUAUCUUGCUGAGAUCCAAGAUGUUUCAGCAACGAAGUAAAGGAGGAGAUUAUUCCGUCAACCGUAAGGUUCCGCUAAGAGCUUUAGAAUAUGAAAGGCAUUAGUGGUAACAAGAUUUGAUUUGGUUAGGUGUUAGUACAAAAAUGAGAUUCCAUUCCAAUGCUGUUGGGGGUACUGCUAGUGAAUAUGGCCGGGCAUCUAUCACGGUGUUGUAUGUGUACGAAAUAAUGUCUGCUUUCGAUACGGUAAGUUUUGCUUUAAGUUA